AUAACAAAGAGAAGCGAGACGGAGACGUUAAGCGAAACCCAAAAAAGUAAGUCUCAGUUCGGAUUGAAGGCUGAAAUUCGCCUUCAUGAAGUCGGAAUCGCUAGUAAUCGCGAAUCAGCAUGUCGCGGUGAAUACGUUCCCGGGCCUUGUACACACCGCCCGUCACACCAUGAGAGUUGGCAAUACCCAACGUACGUGAUCUAACCCGCAAGGGAGGAAGCGUCCUAAGGUAGGGUCAGCGAUUGGGGUGAAGUCGUAACAAGGUAAC
rnacentral:rRNA from 1 species